UAAAGAUGCACUGGAUAUAGUUGGGGAGAGCCUCGUGCUCUCCGAUGUGCGAUUUGUUAGUCUGGUUGUUUAAUAAGAAACAAAAAUUGUGUGUUUUAUUCUAUAACAGUUUUAAUAACAGUAUGUAUUUUGGGCUGGUAUUUUUUUUAAUGGGCGGGUUUUAAACUGUAGUUGGGCUGGAAAUCUUUAGUCCAAUCUGGCAACACUGACUGGACCGCGCUCACUCACUCGCUGGAUGGGAGCACAGCAGGAUUAACGUUAUUCGCGAGACACGACGCGGUCAUGGUAAAAAAUACAGGUACGUUAACGUUAAGCAUUUCGAGCUUCUUUAAUCUCAUUUAAAGCACUCUAAAGUCAACUUCAUCUAAAAAUUAACAAGCUUAAUUAUCAAAAUGUGUGCAACUCUAGCUAAGGUUAGCACAGGAGCGAGGUGAUAACGCACCAUUAAGUUAUAUCAAAGUUAUCAACGGUGUUAAGUGUUAAAUAUGCAGUGUCAUACACAACAGUUCGUCAUUGGUAAAUUAAGAAGUAUUUUUGUGGUUUAUCACAUUAAGACAGCGUAAGACGAGUCCCGCAAAGUGUAACGUUAUUUUCAAACUAAUGUUACCGUUAGAGAGACGCUGGUCUCUAACCGUCACUCCCUACACAGAUCUGAAGCGAGGUAAAGCGAACACACAUUCACUGGAUUAAAACACUUUAACCUUUGUGUUCAGUAUUACUGGAUAUCUGUAGGUUUCAUCUAGAAUGUCCCAUCUGAUCCUGAUCAAGUUUAUUAAAUCCGCCGAAUGUUAAACAAAGGGGCUGAAGAGCGUUUAUAAAGGCUGUUUAACCUUAGUUAACAUUUAAGUUAUUUGCUCCUCACGUUGUCUUAUUUAAAAUUCAUACUAACAAAUUGCUGUCAUACUUUGAAAUCAAUGUUUUUAGUGCAAAGGCAGAGAGUGAAGGUGUGGUGGUAUUGGCAGCAAGAAGGCUGCAAUAAUAUGGGCCUGAAAUGAAGUACUGGUAAGUACUAUUCACAUUAAACAAAUUGAUGGGCUUUAGUGUUGUACCAGAUGUAAUUUGUCACGUUAAAAACAGUUACUUAAAUACAUCGUACUUUUGUUUUUAUUUUUUGAUGAUUUGCUAUUAAUGCAGAUGUAAUGGUGACCAGAAAUGACCAGCAGCACAAAUGUUAAGUCUUCUGAAGCAAUUCUAUACUUUUGUUUUAUAAGUUCUAUAUUUCUAAUCCAAUUGAAUAUUAGAUUAAUCAAAUCAUUAAUACACAGAUGAAAAAUAACAAACCUCAACUAAAGUCCAACAACAAUGACAACAUGACAUCUAAGAACCAGUCAUGUUUGAUUCAGAUUAGGGCUUGGCGAUAUGUGAAAAAAUCUUGAUAUUGGCAAAUUUUUUAUGAUAUUCAAUAUAUAUCUUUAUAUAUUUUAUAUAAUAUAUAUAGAUAAUAUAAAUUUAAUUCCUAUAAGUAAUUCCACAUUGCCAUGUUUUAACACAUGAUUAUAAAAAUAAGCUGUCCAUAAAUGUUACUUAAUUGUGAGUUAAAUUUCUCUAAUUUUGUGUUUUGUCUUCAGGAACAUUAUCAGUCAUUCAAGCUAUGAUAUCCUGGCAGAUCUACUUCCUGAAAAGAAGACUCAGCAGAUCUUUUCAAGACACACUAGAUGGAGCGCGGAGAGACCGGACAGUUCCCACAGUGCUAGUUUUUCAGCCACACCCCAAACACAAAUUCAUAUAGAAGUUUUCAAUAAUAAAAAGUUCAUAUGAUAGUUUAUAUUUAGCUAUGAAGCAAUAGUUUAUUGUCAUAAAUAUUAAACUAAAUAUUAAAGUCCUUCUGUAGUGAAAAUCAAGUUUUUAUGCUGUUUUUUUUUUUUUGUCUUUGUGGCAUUAAAUAUUGCUACAUCACAAUCCAAUUACCAAUCACAUCUAAGAAUAAUUUCCUAUAGCAUGCCAAUACCAGCGCACAAGCACAAAGACAAAUUAUAGCAAAAAAAUUAGAUUAAAUAUUUGACUACAGGGGACUUUCAUUUUUUUUUACAAGAUAUUAAAUUUUCACCAGUCUGUUCAAUGUGUUGAAAGUGAUUAUCUUUAAUAAUUCAGAUACCUGUUGAAAUGCACAUGUAAUUGAAUGCUUGCUUGGAUCUGGAAUGUUGUGUUAAUAAAUGUUAUGCUGAAAGAGAAUGUUGCAACAGUGCUAACCUGAAAAUAAAAUUUUAUUAAGCUA